rnacentral:rRNA from 1 species
CCUACGGGCGGCAGCAGUGAGGAAUAUUGGUCAAUGGACGAGAGUCUGAACCAGCCAAGUAGCGUGAAGGAUGACUGCCCUAUGGGUUGUAAACUUCUUUUAUAUGGGAAUAAAAUGUUCCACGUGUGGGAUUUUGUAUGUACCAUAUGAAUAAGGAUCGGCUAACUCCGUGCCAGCAGCCGCGGUAAUACGGAGGAUCCGAGCGUUAUCCGGAUUUAUUGGGUUUAAAGGGAGCGUAGGUGGAUUGUUAAGUCAGUUGGGAAAGUUUGCGGCUCAACCGUAAAAUUGCAGUUGAAACUGGCAGUCUUGAGUAGAGUAGAGGUGGGCAGAAUUCGUGGUGUAGCGGUGAAAUGCUUAGAUAUCACGAAGAACUCCGAUUGCGAAGGCAGCUCACUGGACUGAAACUGACACUGAGGCUCGAAAGUGUGGGUAUCAAACAGGAUUAGAUACCCUUGUAGUC